ACGUAGGGGGCUAGCGUUAUCCGGAAUUACUGGGCGUAAAGGGUGCGUAGGUGGUUUCUUAAGUCAGAGGUGAAAGGCUACGGCUCAACCGUAGUAAGCCUUUGAAACUGGGAAACUUGAGUGCAGGAGAGGAGAGUGGAAUUCCUAGUGGUGCGGUUAAAUGCGUAGAAAUUAAGAGGAACACCAGUUGGGAAGGCCGCCCUCUGGACUGUAACUGGCCCUGGGGCAACAAAGCGUGGGGAGCAAACAG
rnacentral:rRNA from 1 species